AGAAAUCGUUAAGGGCGUAUGGCGGAUGCCUAGGCUUUCAGAGGCGACGAAGGACGUGGUAAGCUGCGAAAAGCUGCGGGGAUUGGCACACACGAAUUGAUCCGCAGAUGUCCGAAUGGGGCAACCCGGCAUAUUGAAGAUAUGUCACCCAGCAAUGGGAGCAAACCCGGAGAACUGAAACAUCUAAGUACCCGGAGGAAAAGAAAUCGAAGAGAUUCCGUAAGUAGUGGCGAGCGAAAGCGGAUUAGCCCAAAAGUCUUUAUAUGUUUAAAAGAAUGUUCUGGAAAGAACAGCCAUAGAGGGUGAUAGCCCCGUAUUUGAAAGGCAUAUUUGGAUGAUAAAUGAGUAGGGCGGGACACGUGAAAUCCUGUCUGAAUAUGGGGGGACCAUCCUCCAAGGCUAAAUACUCCUGAAAGACCGAUAGUGAACAAGUACUGUGAAGGAAAGGUGAAAAGCACUUCGAAUAGAAGGGUGAAAUAGAACCUGAAACCGUACGCCUACAAGCGGUCGGAGCAGAUUAAUUCUGUGACGGCGUGCCUUUUGCAUAAUGAGCCUACGAGUUAAUUUUACUAGCGAGGUUAAGGUAUUAAGUACCGGAGCCGGAGCGAAAGCGAGUCUGAAUAGGGCGAAUAGUUAGUAGGAUUAGACGCGAAACCUUGUGAUCUACCCAUGGGCAGGUUGAAGCUUUGGUAACACAAAGUGGAGGACCGAACCGGUUGACGUUGAAAAGUCUUCGGAUGACCUGUGGGUAGGGGUGAAAGGCCAAUCAAACUGGGAGAUAGCUCGUACUCUCCGAAAUGCAUUUAGGUGCAGCGUCGUAUAUAAGUUUAUUAGAGGUAGAGCUACUGAUUGGAUGCGGGGGUUUCACCGCCUACCAAUUCCUGACAAACUCCGAAUGCUAAUAAAUGUUCUACGGCAGUGAGGGCAUGGGUGCUAAGGUCCAUGUCCGAGAGGGAAAGAACCCAGACCAACAGCUAAGGUCCCCAAAUUUCUGUUAAGUUGAAGCAACGCGGUUGGACUGCAUUGACAGCUAGGAUGUUGGCUUGGAAGCAGCCAUUCAUUUAAAGAGUGCGUAACAGCUCACUAGUCGAGCGGUCCGGCAUGGAUAAUAAUCGGGCAUAAACAGAAUACCGAAGCUAUGGAUUUAUAAUUAAUUAUAUCUGGUAGGAGAGCAUUCUAUCGGCGUAGAAGCUGAGUCGUGAGGCUUGGUGGAGCUUAUAGAAAAGAAAAUGUAGGCAUAAGUAACGAUAAAGGGGGCGAGAAACCCCCUCACCGAAAGACUAAGGUUUCCUCAGCCAUGCUAAUCAGCUGAGGGUUAGUCGGGACCUAACGCGAACCCGAAAGGGGUAGUGGAUGGACAAUGGGUUAAUAUUCCCAUACUUGCUCACACUAAAAAGGGGACGGUUCGAUGUAGCUAUUGAAGACGGACGGAAGUGUCAAGGCUUAGCCUUCGGGCGAAGCUGUUAUAGUGUAAUCGGAUCCAAGAAAAGCCGAAGUGAAGCAACCCGUACCAAAACCGACACAGGUGGUCGAGGAGAGAAUCCUAAGGUGCUCGAGUGAGUCGUGGCUAAGGAACUAGGCAAAAUAGUCUCGUAACUUCGGAAGAAGAGACGCCAUCAGCAAUGGUGGCCGCAGUGAAGAGGCCCAGGCGACUGUUUAUCAAAAACACAGGACUCUGCUAAAUCGAAAGAUGCUG
rnacentral:rRNA from 1 species